ACCACUGUGUCAACAUUUUCGUAGAUGUUCAAACAAAAGAGAUGGCUAAUUGUUCAAAAGACUUCAGGAGUCGCCUGCACUUGAUUGUUGAAACUGGAGAGUCUGUUGUUUGUCCUGGGAAAAGCUGUUACAGUCAUUUUCAUACCUCAGCAGUUAAAUGGUACAAGAAUGGAAAACGAGUAACGCCUCAAAGGAACAGACUGGGCUUGAAGUUGCAGCAUGAUAAGAUUUUAUUAGAACCAGCCUAUGACCGAGAUAGCGGUAAUUACACAUGUGAUUAUAUGCUGAUGGAUAAUAAUACAUGGUGGAAUAUGAGAACGAUGGUCAGGGUGGGUGUCACAUCAAAAGACUCUGACGGCCCCCCAAUAGUCCUGGAUCCUGCC